UUGGUAACGUCAAAACAGCAAGGUAUUAACUUACUGCCCUUCCUCCCAACUUAAAGUGCUUUACAAUCCGAAGACCUUCUUCACACACGCGGCAUGGCUGGAUCAGGCUUUCGCCCAUUGUCCAAUAUUCCCCACUGCUGCCUCCCGUAGGAGUCUGGACCGUGUCUCAGUUCCAGUGUGACUGAUCAUCCUCUCAGACCAGUUACGGAUCGUCGCCUUGGUGAGCCUUUACCUCACCAACUAGCUAAUCCGACCUAGGCUCAUCUGAUAGCGUGAGGUCCGAAGAUCCCCCACUUUCUCCCGUAGGACGUAUGCGGUAUUAGCGUUCCUUUCGAAACGUUGUCCCCCACUACCAGGCAGAUUCCUAGGCAUUACUCACCCGUCCGCCGCUGAAUCAUGGAGCAAGCUCCACUCAUCCGCUCGACUU
rnacentral:rRNA from 1 species